CUUGCUUUCUCGAGCGAGUGGCGAACGGGUGAGUAACGCGUGAGGAACCUGCCUCAAAGAGGGGGACAACAGUUGGAAACGACUGCUAAUACCGCAUAAGCCCACGACCCGGCAUCGGGUUGAGGGAAAAGGAGCAAUCCGCUUUGAGAUGGCCUCGCGUCCGAUUAGCUGGUUGGUGAGGUAACGGCCCACCAAGGCGACGAUCGGUAGCCGGACUGAGAGGUUGAACGGCCACAUUGGGACUGAGACACGGCCCAGACUCCUACGGGAGGCAGCAGUGGGGAAUAUUGCACAAUGGGGGAAACCCUGAUGCAGCGACGCCGCGUGGAGGAAGAAGGUCUUCGGAUUGUAAACUCCUGUUGUUGAGGAAGAUAAUGACGGUACUCAACAAGGAAGUGACGGCUAACUACGUGCCAGCAGCCGCGGUAAAACGUAGGUCACAAGCGUUGUCCGGAAUUACUGGGUGUAAAGGGAGCGCAGGCGGGAAGACAAGUUGGAAGUGAAAUCUAUGGGCUCAACCCAUAAACUGCUUUCAAAACUGUUUUUCUUGAGUAGUGCAGAGGUAGGCGGAAUUCCCGGUGUAGCGGUGGAAUGCGUAGAUAUCGGGAGGAACACCAGUGGCGAAGGCGGCCUACUGGGCACCAACUGACGCUGAGGCUCGAAAGUGUGGGUAGCAAACAGGAUUAGAUACCCUGGUAGUCCACACCGUAAACGAUGAUUACUAGGUGUUGGAGGAUUGACCCCUUCAGUGCCGCAGUUAACACAAUAAGUAAUCCACCUGGGGAGUACGACCGCAAGGUUGAAACUCAAAGGAAUUGACGGGGGCCCGCACAAGCAGUGGAGUAUGUGGUUUAAUUCGACGCACCGCGAAGAACCUUACCAAGUCUUGACAUCCUGCGACGUGCAUA
rnacentral:rRNA from 1 species